GUUUGACGUUAGCUGCAGAAGAAGCACCGGCUAACUCCGUGCCAGCAGCCGCGGUAAUACGGAGGGUGCGAGCGUUAAUCGGAAUUACUGGGCGUAAAGCGCAUGCAGGUGGUUUGUUAAGUCAGAUGUGAAAGCCCCGGGGCUCAACCUCGGAAUAGCAUUUGAAACUGGCAGACUAGAGUACUGUAGAGGGGGUAGAAUUUCAGGUGUAGCGGUGAAAUGCGUAGAGAUCUGAAGGAAUACCGGUGGCGAAGGCGGCCCCCUGGACAGAUACUGACACUCAGAUGCGAAAGCGUGGGGAGCAAACAGGAUUAGAUACCCUGGUAG
rnacentral:rRNA from 1 species